rfam:Loxodonta africana unplaced genomic scaffold scaffold_83, whole genome shotgun sequence.
GCAGUGGUGGGUCAGUGGUAGAAUUCUUACUUUCCAUACAGGAGACCUGGGUUUGAUUCCUGGCCAGUGCA